rnacentral:rRNA from 1 species
GUCGACCGCCUGGGGAGUACGGCCGCAAGGUUAAAACUCAAAUGAAUUGACGGGGGCCCGCACAAGCGGUGGAGCAUGUGGUUUAAUUCGAUGCAACGCGAAGAACCUUACCUACUCUUGACAUCCAGAGAACUUAGCAGAGAUGCUUUGGUGCCUUCGGGAACUCUGAGACAGGUGCUGCAUGGCUGUCGUCAGCUCGUGUUGUGAAAUGUUGGGUUAAGUCCCGCAACGAGCGCAACCCUUAUCCUUUGUUGCCAGCGGUUAGGCCGGGAACUCAAAGGAGACUGCCAGUGAUAAACUGGAGGAAGGUGGGGAUGACGUCAAGUCAUCAUGGCCCUUACGAGUAGGGCUACACACGUGCUACAAUGGCAUAUACAAAGAGAAGCGACCUCGCGAGAGCAAGCGGACCUCAUAAAGUAUGUCGUAGUCCGGAUUGGAGUCUGCAACUCGACUCCAUGAAGUCGGAAUCGCUAGUAAUCGUGGAUCAGAAUGCCACGGUGAAUACGUUCCCGGGCCUUGUACACACCGCCCGUCACACCAUGGGAGUGGGUUGCAAAAGAAGUAGGUAGCUUAACCUUCGGGAGGGCGCUUACCACUUUGUGAUUCAUGACUGGGGUGAAGUCGUAACAAGGUAACCGUAGGGGAACCUGCGGUUGGAUCACCUCCUUACCUUAAAGAA